GCCUGGGUGGCUCAGUCGGUUGAGCAUCUGACUUCAGCUCAGGUCAUGAUCUCACUGUUUGUGGGUUUGAGCCCUGCAUCAGGCU
rnacentral:tRNA from 1 species